rnacentral:rRNA from 1 species
UACAGAGGGUGCAAGCGUUAUUCGGAUUCACUGGGCGUAAAGGGCGCGCAGGCGGCUAGGUGUGUGAGGCGUGAAAGCCUGGGGCUUAACCCCAGAAUUGCACCUCAAACUGCUUGGCUAGAGCAUUGGAGAGGGUAGCAGAAUUCAUGGUGUAGCAGUGAAAUGCGUAGAUAUCAUGAGGAAUACCAGAGGCGAAGGCGGCUACCUGGACAAUUGCUGACGCUCAGGCACGAAAGCGUGGGGAGCAAAAGGG